AUAGAGAAAAAGAACACAAUUCCAUGGAAUGUUACUUUAGAAAUGAAGGUAAAGUUAAAAUAUUGUUAACAAUCAUCUGAUUACAUACUUUUCAGAACCCCGAUGAUCGUAAGUCAUCCUUUAGUAGAUUUCUUAUGGCAGGCAAAUCAUUUUAUGGAUAGGAACAUGCUCUUCUUUAAGUAAUUAAAAUUUCGUUCUAGAAAAUAAUAUUUGCACACCCGAAAGCUAGUUGGUCUUGACGUCCUGUGUCCUUUUUUUUCAGGUAUGAUAAAUAUUAUCAAACGCCUCGAGUAUGGCUUACUGGAUAUGACGAGGUAACCAUUGAAGAUCAUCCUUACUUGCCUGGGAAGCAUGCAUCUGUUCAUCCAUGUCGACAUGGAGCCGUGAUGAAAAAAAUUAUCGAUGUUCUAAUGUCACGUGGGGUUGAGCCAGAAGUUGACAAGUACCUUUUCUUAUUCUUGAAAUUUGGGGCCUCUGUAAUUCCAACCAUCGAAUAUGCUUACACU